UUGUCCUCCAUUUUGCAAACGGUUCCGUUGGCUUGAAGAGAUCUGCACUUGAAACCUUCGGUUUUGACUUUUAACGUUACAGGUAUUGAGAAAUGUCCUUGCUUGAUGACUGGAUCAGGAAAUGCCUGUGGUGCUUUGGUAUUCAGGCAAGCUACAGGUCAAAGAUGCGUAACCUUGGAUGUCCAGUGACCGCCGUUUUCCAGAAGAAGAAGGUCAUAAGUUCCAGAAGAAGGUUUAAAGGACAUAAAAUGGCCAAACAUUUGAGGAUUUUGCAAGGUACAGAGACUGUACAUCUGAGGAGGGAGGCAGCCAUCAAGACCCUGUGCCUUUAUUUUGGUGAAGAUGAUGAUUCUCUCAUACAUGUACAUGGUAAGUAACACUAAUAAAGUGCAUGAUGAAAUUGCAAUAAAGGGUGUUAAC